AGUUGAGUUGGAAAAAAAUGGAAGAAUGAAUACUAUAUCGCACAUUAUGACAACUUAUAGCUGGGAAUAUCUGCGAAGAGAUGAUGGCAAGACCGUUGGUCAAUUUCUGUUUGGCCCUCUAUUGGAUGUUUUAUGGAGGGCGGACUGUCUGAGACAUGAUGAUCAAUUCCGCGUUUUGUCUUCUCUUCCCCUUCCAUUGUAUUAAGUAUGCAUGUAGUUUUUGAUAAUGCAAUUAGUUUAUAAAUUUAACCGAUCCAAAAGAAACAGUUUAAUUGAAGAUUGAAUCAAUAGUUUGCUUGUGCUUGAA